rnacentral:rRNA from 1 species
AUUGAACGCUGGCGGCAUGCCUUACACAUGCAAGUCGAACGGCAGCACGGGAGCAAUCCUGGUGGCGAGUGGCGAACGGGUGAGUAAAGUAUCGGAACGUGCCCAGUCGUGGGGGAUAACGUAGCGAAAGUUACGCUAAUACCGCAUACGAUCUAUGGAUGAAAGCGGGGGAUCGCAAGACCUCGCGCGAUUGGAGCGGCCGAUAUCAGAUUAGGUAGUUGGUGGGGUAAAGGCUCACCAAGCCGACGAUCUGUAGCUGGUCUGAGAGGACGACAGCCAAACUGGGACUGAGACACGGCCCGGACUCCUACGGGAGGCAGCAGUGGGGAAUUUUGGACAAUGGGCGAAAGCCUGAUCCAGCCAUGCCGCGUGCAGGAUGAAGGCCUUCGGGUUGUAAACUGCUUUUGUACGGAACGAAAAGGUUUGGCCUAAUAAGCUGAGCUCAUGACGGUACCGUAAGAAUAAGCACCGGCUAACUACGUGCCAGCCGCCGCCGUAA